ensembl:lncRNA
AGGUGGUAUCCACACACACACACACACACGGUAGGUGGUAUCCACACACACACACGGUAGGUGGUAUCCACACACACACACGGGGUAGGUGGUAUCCACACACACACACACGGUAGGUGGUAUCCACACACACACACACGGGGUAGGUGGUAUCCACACACACACACGGGGUAGGUGGUAUCCACACACACACACACACACAGGUGGUAUCCACACACACACACACACGGUAGGUGGUAUCCACACACACACACACACACACACACA